GUGCUCCUUCAGCAGCACAUAUACUGAAAUUGGACAACACAGAAACAAUUAGCAUGGCCCCUGCCAGAGGAUGACACACACAUUUGUGAAGUGUUCCAUAUUUUU
ensembl:snRNA U6 U6 spliceosomal RNA